rnacentral:rRNA from 1 species
GACGAACGCUGGCGGCGUGCCUAACACAUGCAAGUCGAACGGAACUGUUUUGAAAGAUUUCUUCGGAAUGAAUUUGAUUUAGUUUAGUGGCGGACGGGUGAGUAACGCGUGAGUAACCUGCCUUCAAGAGGGGAAUAACAUUCUGAAAAGAAUGCUAAUACCGCAUGACAUAUCGGAACCACAUGGUUUUGAUAUCAAAGAUUUUAUCGCUUGAAGAUGGACUCGCGUCCGAUUAGUUAGUUGGUGAGGUAACGGCUCACCAAGACCGCGAUCGGCAGCCGGACUGAGAGGUUGAACGGCCACAUUGGGACUGAGACACGGCCCAGACUCCUACGGGAGGCAGCAGUGGGGGAUAUUGCGCAAUGGGGGCAACCCUGACGCAGCAACGCCGCGUGAAGGAUGAAGGUUUUCGGAUUGUAACCUUCUUUUAUUAAGGACGAAAAAUGACGGUACUUAAUGAAUAAGCUCCGGCUAACUACGUG